rnacentral:misc_RNA from 1 species
UCUCCGUAGGUGAACCUGCGGAGGGAUCAUUACUGAGUGAGGGCCUUCGGGCUCGACCUCCAACCCUUUGUGAACACAACUUGUUGCUUCGGGGGCGACCCUGCCUUCGGGCGUCGGGGCCCCCGGCGGACCACUCAACUCUGCAUCUUUGCGUCUGAGUCGAAAUAUAAAUCAAUCAAAACUUUCAACAACGGAUCUCUUGGUUCUGGCAUCGAUGAAGAACGCAGC